rnacentral:misc_RNA from 1 species
AACAGUGGAAAACCUACACAAGAUUAUCAGAAAAGAUAGGCAGUACUCGCUAAGAAAUUGCACUAUAAGUGAGAUUGAGAGAUUGGUUCCUGAAAAUAAAAAAACAGUGCUCUGUAGUGGCUACUCUUUGAAUCAUGGCAAAGAAAAAUACUAUCUGUUUGCAAAAUUCAUUUUAUCUGUUCACUGAUAACAUAGUCCAUUUGGAUCAAUCAUCAUACAGAAGAAAAAAAAAGGCUAAAUACAGAUUAAACCAACCAUUCAACUAAACUGUUGGGCUUCAUUUCUAUCUAUUAUAGGUGAGUCAACAAAGCAAUUACAGUCUCUGGCAUGCACAUAAGCAGCACAGUAUUUAUGGUCAAUUUCAUGCAGAAGAUCAAGUAAUUUAGAAUUCCCACUUAUAAAUGGCACAGAUGGGUUCUGUUGUUGAAAAAAAUAUGCCCAGAUCAUAUUCCAUGACUUACCAUUACCAUAACCAAGCGAACUUUAGGAGGCAAGCAAGGAUCAUUUAAGGCCAUAAAAAAUUCAUUAGUUUGUCCUUUCCUAUCAGAAGUUAAUUAGAUAAGAAUUUUUACCCUAACGAGUAAUUAAAUAAGACAAAUACUUACAGUUAACAUCCA